rfam:Charadrius vociferus contig796, whole genome shotgun sequence.
GUGGGCUAUGGGGAUAUGCGCCCUGUCACCGUGGGGGGCAAGAUUGUGGGUUCCUUGUGUGCCAUCGCAGGUGUGCUGACCAUCGCCCUGCCUGUCCCGGUCAUUGUAUCCAAC